UACAAGUCACAACUUAAAACUGGAGAGCUUCUGCACUUGAGUAAAAUGAGGAACCGUAACUAUUUUUAGUUAGUCAGGAAGAGAUAUUGCAGCAGCAAGCCGGAGAACCCUUCACAGGUCCCAUACAGAUGCCUCCUUUCGGAUGGUUCUUGGCUUUGCAAGCCGCAUUGCAGUCUGGGAAUUUAUGACAUGGACCAAGGCAAAUCACUGUUACUCUUAGCGCCCCUGCCGGCCAUGCCACUGUUAAUCCACAAUUCAAAAAAAAUCAAAUUAGUUAACUGCAACAUUAAAUCUUAGGUCUGCGCAGGGUUAUAAAAGUUUUUGACAACUAAAACACUUCAAACAAUUAACUAAUGAGUACGACAU
rnacentral:lncRNA from 1 species